rnacentral:rRNA from 1 species
GUCGAGCGCGAAAGUUCUUCGGAACGAGUAGAGCGGCGGACGGGUGAGUAACGCGUGGGAAAUUGCCCAGUAGUGGGGGACAACAUUCGGAAACGGAUGCUAAUACCGCAUACGCCCUACGGGGGAAAGCAGGGGAUCUUCGGACCUUGUGCUAUUGGAUAUGCCCGCGUCGGAUUAGCUAGUUGGUGAGGUAAUGGCUCACCAAGGCAACGAUCCGUAGCUGGUCUGAGAGGAUGAUCAGCCACACUGGGACUGAGACACGGCCCAGACUCCUACGGGAGGCAGCAGUGGGGAAUAUUGGACAAUGGGCGCAAGCCUGAUCCAGCCAUGCCGCGUGUGUGAAGAAGGCUCUAGGGUUGUAAAGCACUUUCAGUAGGGAGGAAGGCCUUAAAGUUAAUACCUUUGAGGAUUGACGUUACCUACAGAAGAAGCACCGGCUAACUCCGUGCCAGCAGCCGCGGUAAUACGGAGGGUGCGAGCGUUAAUCGGAAUUACUGGGCGUAAAGCGCGCGUAGGCGGUUAGUUAAGCUGGAUGUGAAAGCCCCGGGCUCAACCUGGGAACUGCAUUCAGAACUGGCUGGCUAGA